UUAUUUUUCUGUAGCACUACAUGUACAAUAACAGAAGGACUCAGGAGGACUGGAACACACUCCCAGAAUCAAGGCCAUCAAAGUCCGAGUGUCUCCACAAUAGAAGGAGGAACUAGGAAAUGUUCUCCUGCUGAGUAGUUCUACUGAAGUGCAGUGAUGUGAAGAAGCAGUAAUGAGUAAAUGUUGUGUAAGCGUGUGUAAAGGUGUGUUUAUUGUGUGUUUGUGGUCUACAGAAGGUCCCACGGUGAAGCCCUCCGUGUCUCUGCUCCCUCCCUCCUCUCUGCACCAGUGUGAGGAAUCGGCCUCGCUGCUCUGCCUGCUGUCUGCCUACUCUCCACAGGGGGCGUCGGUGAGCUGGACGGUGGACGGCUCGGCGGUGAAGGACGGGGUCUUGACCAGUGCAGAAGAACAGAAGAAAGACGGUUACACACGCAGCAGUACCCUGACCCUCAGCAAAGCACUCUGGGAAAAGGGGGAGGAGUUUGUCUGUACGGUCUCCCACGAGGGCGUGGAUCAUCCGGUCACGUUCAGAAAGAGCCAGUGUUAAGGCUAACAGCUCCAAGAUAGAACUGAACACUGAGCUGCUUCCACAUCCAUCUACAAUAGAGUUUCAGUUCUACACAAUGCUGACAUUUCUGUCUUUACUCUCUUCACUGUCCUGUUGCUCUUCCUGUAGUUUUGCUCUGCUGAAAUAAAGCUUCAUUUUGGA